CUGCCGCCGGCGACCGGCGCACGGGUGAGUAACACGUAUGCAACCUGGCCGUGACAGAUGGAUAACCGGGAGAAAUCCCGCCUAAUACAACAUAAUGCCGGGAGGGGACAUCCCCUGCCGGCCAAAGGGGGCGACCCCGGUCACGGAUGGGCAUGCGGCGCAUUAGGUAGUUGGUGGGGCAACGGCCCACCAAGCCGACGAUGCGUAGGGGUUCUGAGAGGAAGGUCCCCCACAUUGGGACUGAGACACGGCCCAAACUCCUACGGAAGGCAGCAG
rnacentral:rRNA from 1 species